CUCUCAGUGGAUGGGCAGGCACCUCCCUCGAGCCCUGAGAAAACCCCUCCACCACGGCUCCUCUGGCCUCUGCAAAUGUCAGUUGCUCCCUUGUCUGAUGGCCCCAAAGGGCAGGACCGGCCCCCAUCACAGUUGCGUUUGGGUCAGAAGGAGAGAUGGGUGCACACAGCUGACACUACAGUGGCUGUCUUAUUUCUGCCGCCCGAGGCCCAGCACAGUGUCUGGCUUUCUGCACAUCCCCUUGGUGUUUCCUGGUGAAAUAGAUCUCUUAAACAAGAAGAUCAUCAUUACAUCUAUUCAGUUACCCCAUUCCUGAAUGCCUGAAAAAUGGAACAACUUCAUUCAGAAACAAACAAAUAAAACGAAAGCAACAGUCAUUUGCCUUGAGCCAGAUGCUCCCCGCCUGUGACCACUAACCUCUGUCAGCUCUGCACAGUCAAUAUCACCUCCUAUCAAGAGGCCGAGUGACUCGCCGGGAGCGCAGCAGUGGCCUGUGUGUGCCCGCUCAACCCCCUCUCUACAUCCCACGUCCCUUCUCUCCUCUGUGGCACAUUCACUGCCUUUUCCAAAAAGCAGAAUCUACCCUGGAUGGAUGACCUUUUAUAAAUUAAAAAUUCUCAAAACUGGAAAUGCACAAACCAUGGAGCAAUCUAUUCAUAGCUGAGGCAGCGAUCCAUUCAUGCCUCUUCCUCCGUCUGUGGCACCCACAGCAAUGUCCUUGCUUGCUUGCCCCACUACAGGCCUUACAGCACCAUUUGCACAAUUUAAAGGAAGACGAUAAAGAACCCGGAAGACGCAGGGCCUCACCUUGGCAAUGCUUCAGUGGUGUUUCACCAUAGCUCUUCAGAUCCUGACACCCUUACAGUGGAGCAGGCUCCUAGCGACA
rnacentral:lncRNA from 1 species